UACGUAGGGUGCGAGCGUUAAUCGGAAUUACUGGGCGUAAAGGGUGCGCAGGCGGUUCUGUAAGACCGGUGUGAAAUCCCCGGGCGCAACCUGGGAAUUGCGCUGGUGACUGCAGGGCUAGAGUACGGUAGAGGGGGGUGGAAUUCCUGGUGUAGCAGUGAAAUGCGUAGAGAUCAGGAGGAACACCGAUGGCGAAGGCAGCCCCCUGGGCCUGUACUGACGCUCAUGCACGAAAGCGUGGGGAGCAAACAGG
rnacentral:rRNA from 1 species